rnacentral:tRNA from 1 species
GGGGCAGUGGCUCAGCUGGUAGAGCGCCUCCCUCGCACGGAGGAGAUCGGCGGUUCGACUCCGCUCUGCUCCA